AUCGAACGCUGGCGGCAGGCUUAACACAUGCAGGUCGAGCGGGGGAAGGUAGCUUGCUACCGGACCUAGCGGCGGACGGGUGAGUAAUGCUUAGGAAUCUGCCUAUUAGUGGGGGACAACAUCUCGAAAGGGAUGCUAAUACCGCAUACGUCCUACGGGAGAAAGCAGGGGAUCUUCGGACCUUGCGCUAAUAGAUGAGGCUAAGUCGGAUUAGCUAGUUGGUGGGGUAAAGGCCUACCAAGGCGACGAUCUGUAGCGGGUCUGAGAGGAUGAUCCGCCACACUGGGACUGAGACACGGCCCAGACUCCUACGGGAGGCAGCAGUGGGGAAUAUUGGACAAUGGGGGGAACCCUGAUCCAGCCAUGCCGCGUGUGUGAAGAAGGCCUUAUGGUUGUAAAGCACUUUAAGCGAGGAGGAGGCUACUCUAGUUAAUACCUAGGGAUAGUGGACGUUACUCGCAGAAUAAGCACCGGCUAACUCUGUGCCAGCCGCCGCCGUAA
rnacentral:rRNA from 1 species